ensembl:lncRNA
AUUUUUUCCCUGUCCUCCUAGAAAUGACACUGGGAUGGACAGAGCUGCUCCAGAGGCUGCAGGGCACAUUAAAGGGUAAUAAGGAGGGCAUGGGGUGAGAAAAAGGUUCCUGCUGGGUUAAAGAGAGACACCUGAUAGCUCAUCUGGGAGCAGAGAGUCAGGUUUAAUAAUGUCCUUGCUAAACGCAGUUAAUAAUUGAGGUCAGGGCCCUGGGUGAGGGCAAUAAGGGGAUAGUCUCCCAUGUGUGGAGUGAUGGGGUAAGGACAAGCUGUUCAGAGCACACAAGCCAUGCUGAUUGCAGGCACACACCAGACCCCCUUGGGCCACCUGGGUCCCUGAUGGCAGCAGGUAAAGCAGCAACUCUUGAAUCUGCUCAGUUUCCCUUCUGCAGCAAUCCCACUGAGGCUGCACCUCAGAGCCUUUCUGCCUCUGAGGGAAAGGUGAAUGUGCUCCUGGUCCCUGGCUGUCCUUGGCUCCUUGCUCCAUCCCUGCACAGCAGUGGGACAGCCUUUCACCAGGAUUUUCCUUGGGGAUUUUGUGGCUGCACUACAGGCUGGGUGAUGGGAACUCUCUGCUGAUGCCAGCACACUGUGGAGCUGCAGGGAACUUCCACUCUUUCCCUGCUGGGGCACAGGGCAGAGGAUGCCCACUUUGGGGUCACACACAUCAUCUGCUGCUUCCAGGUAUUACAGCAAGGCAGGCAGAGCUCUUUCCAGAUCUUUGCCUUUGGUAGAGCAGAAGUCAAUCAGAUGCAGGGUGUUUCAUAUGAAACUUUUUCGAGGCUCCUCGAGCCAUUAUGUCUGAUGGAACUUUGUUUCCGUGGAGAGCCUUUUGACUGGGAGCAAUUUUCAUCAUCAAACCUCUGGGGUAGACCCAUGAUUUCAGAACAGACAAGCAUGAACCAGUUAUAAACAAAACAGCAAACAAGGUUUUGUUUGCAGGCUAUUGUAUAAAGCCCUGAGUAUGGGUCAAAGGCUUUGAAGAUUUUGUUUUAAAUAUAGUUUUGUCAAAUGUUCUUGUUACAACAUAUAGACUUCCUAUCAUCUGGACACAAGUUCAGCAGUACAGAUUUUAGAGGGACAGAAUGUCCUAAACUGACCUAAAAUUGUUUUACUCUGCAUAAACAUGUCAUGAUUUUUAAAGAACUUAGGCUUUUUUAUGGAGAGAAACUUGGAAUGUCUUCCCUCAGACAGUACAAAGAUUUCCUUUGUGAGCUCUGAUGAGUCAGGAAAUAUUGGAUCUUAGACUUAUCACUCUGAAUGUUGCAUAUUCAAGACUGAAUAUUGCAUAUUCUAUUGCUCAGGAUGUUGUAACUUUGCAGAGGUGUUACCCAUUGAGGAACAAAACUUGAAUCACUGUCACCUGGAUUUAUGUCUAAAGAGAUUUCCCCGAGGAGAUCCCAAGGAGGAAUAUUGACAAUUGUUUCCUUACUUUGUUUGCCAAAAAGAGGAUGGAAAAUAUCUUGACAAGUGUUCAUGAAGAACUUUUCAAGGCUGCUCUAAAAAUGACUUGCAAGACCAAGCAACAGCCCCUGUAUUGAACCCAUGAUGUUCAGAGCAGAAGAAACCUCCUUCCCUGUCAUCCCAACACAAAAACCCAGGAGGUGCCUGGGCAGGUUAAAACACCAGCUCUAUUUCAAGAACUUCCUACAAAACUGAUCAUGCACAGAGAGAAGAGAAAAAGUUAGAAAGUAAUAUAAAAUGUCUCUAAGAAGCUAUUUGGCACACAGAAUAAUAAUAUAAGUGAGAGGACAAGAGCCCUCACACCCUUACAAGUCCCCUGGGAAAAGCUGGAGCAAACAAAGCCAGCUCCUGGGCCAACCUGCUGCAGGUACAUUUGACCCUCUUGGCCAAGCUGUAUUUCAUUAGUGUAUCUCAAGGAGGAUGGGCUGUUAAAUGAUUCAAGCUGGAUAAGAUUUGCUGCAAUGGAAAACUUGUGUGCCUUUGUGCCUCUCUGGUUGAAAAAACCCUUUGCAAAAAUAGAUCAGCAAGCCAUCGUUGCAAACUGGACUGUUAACCUAAGAGCAGAAAAUACAAUGGGGUUUGAAACUGCGUUUUAAUUUCUCGUGCUGCUGAAUUAUUUAUUGUACAUCUCACCAUAUAUUGAAAUUAAAACCUGAAGUAUGACAUACAGUAAAUAAUUCAGACUGGCUCUUUCAUCGAGUGUGAGCUAGGUUAUUGAUACUUCAUUUUAGUGAGAUACACAUCCAUGUCAGCUCCUUCUGGGCUCUCUAAUUUUGCUUGUGUUGGUGCCAGUGAAAAAUUCAGGGCUACAAGAGCUGGGCAGAGUUGGGGUUGUUCAGCCUGUUGCAGCCUUUCAAUACUUAGUGAGUUUAUAAGAGAAAUGGGGACAGAUUAUUUUAGUAGGACCCAUUGUGACAAGGUAAUGGUUUUAAACUGAAGGAUGGUAGAUUUAGAUUAGAUAUAAGGAGGAAUUUUUUAAUGAUGUGGGGGUGAAACACUGGCACAGGUUGCCCAGAGGGGUGGUUGAUGCUCCUUCCCUGGACUCAUUCAAGGUGAGGCUGAUGAGGCUCUGAGCAAUGUGAUCCAAUUGAAGAUGUCCCUGCUCAUUGCAGGAGGGCUGGACUAAAUGACCUUCAAAGCUCCCUUCCAACCCAAAUUAUGCUGCAAUUCUGUGAAAUCCUCCUUUAGGCAGUCCACAAACUCCCUAUGUACUCCUUCAGUUCUCCUAAUAAAAUGUCAGUAAGGAAAACA